CCCCAGCGCCACAAGUGGUUAUCACGAUUAUUGGGCCUAAAGCGUUCGUAGCCGGUUUGGUAAAUCUCUUGUGAAAUUGUUCGGCUUAACCGGACAGCGUGCAGGAGACACUGCCAGGCUCGAGACCGGGAGGCGUAUGAAGUAUGCAGUGGGGACUGGUAAAAUGGGAUAAUCCACUGUAGACUACCGAUGGCGAAGGCAUCAUACGAGAACGGAUCUGACGGUGAGGAACGAAAGCCAGGGGAGCGAACCGG
rnacentral:rRNA from 1 species